rnacentral:rRNA from 1 species
GACGAACGCUGGCGGCGUGCUUAACACAUGCAAGUCGAACGGAAAGGCCCUGCUUUUGUGGGGUGCUCGAGUGGCGAACGGGUGAGUAACACGUGAGUAACCUGCCCUUGACUUUGGGAUAACUUCAGGAAACUGGGGCUAAUACCGGAUAGGAGCUCCUGCUGCAUGGUGGGGGUUGGAGAGUUUCGGCGGUUGGGGAUGGACUCGCGGCUUAUCAGCUUGUUGGUGGGGUAGUGGCUUACCAAGGCUGUGACGGGUAGGCGGCCUGAGAGGGUGAACGGCCCCAUUGGGACUAAGAGACGGACCAGUCGCGUACGGGAGGCAGCAGUGGGGAGUAUUGCACAAUGGGCGGAAGCCUGAUGCAGCAAUGCCGGGUGCGGGAUGACGGCCUACGGGUGGUAAACCGCUUUCGCCUGUGACGAAGCGUGAGUGACGGUAAUGGGUAAAGAAGCACCGGCUAACUACGUG